UUUUUGGCCGAAAAUUUUGAUUUUUAUUUCGUAGGUUAUUGUUGUUCUUUACUCGAGUAGAUUUAUAAACCUCAUUAACGAUGUGAAAAAUUAUUCGUAAAAUUUUAUACCUGCUUUGCAGAAUUUAUUUUUGUUUUACCAGGCUGGCUAUGGGGUCAGUCUGGGCUUUAUACUGUGUUUAAAAUUUUAGAUUACAGGGUUAAAAUUACCCUCUUUUAAGGAGAGUGUUAUAACUUUAGUUUUCUGUUAGUUCAGUUAUUUUUUGUUUCUGCUUUUGGUUAAUUUUACUCUCAUAAAUUAUCGAUUAAUAAGUAAUAUCAAUAAGGUAAUAUUGUUUCUCGAAAGUAGUCCGUCUGUUUAUUAAAAACAUUUCCAUACAUAAGUUUUUAUGGUAGAACCUGCUCUAUGUGUUUAAUAAAUGGCCGCAGUAUUUUAACUGUGCGAAGGUAGCAUAAUUAAUUGCCUCGUAAUUUGGGGCUUGUUUGAAUGGUUUGACGUGAUUAUAAAACACAUUAUUCUUCUUCUUGAAAUUUAUAUUGUGGGCACAGAAUCCACACGGGUUAAUUAGACGGAAAGACCCCGGGAUCUUUUUUUUUUGCCUGGGGCAGGUUUAUUUUUUUCAAGUUUAUUUAGACCCUUUAGCAAGUUCAGUGAUUUAAGUUACCCCGGGGAUAACAGUGUUAUAGCAUAUAAGAGAUCAAAUCGAAUAUGUUUUUUGCUACCUCGAUGUUGACUUAGGUUAAUUAAUUGGCGCAGUAGUUUUUUAAUUUUGGUCUGUUCGACCUUUGUGACCU
rnacentral:rRNA from 1 species